UGGGGAAUUUUGGACAAUGGGGGAAACCCUGAUCCAGCCAUCCCGCGUGUGCGAUGAAGGCCUUCGGGUUGUAAAGCACUUUUGGCAGGAAAGAAACGUCGCGGGUUAAUACCCCGCGAAACUGACGGUACCUGCAGAAUAAGCACCGGCUAACUACGUGCCAGCAGCCGCGGUAAUACGUAGGGUGCAAGCGUUAAUCGGAAUUACUGGGCGUAAAGCGUGCGCAGGCGGUUCGGAAAGAAAGAUGUGAAAUCCCAGAGCUUAACUUUGGAACUGCAUUUUUAACUACCGGGCUAGAGUGUGUCAGAGGGAGGUGGAAUUCCGCGUGUAGCAGUGAAAUGCGUAGAUAUGCGGAGGAACACCGAUGGCGAAGGCAGCCUCCUGGGAUAACACUGACGCUCAUGCACGAAAAGCGUGGGGAGCAAACAGGAUUAGAUACCCUGGUAGUCCACGCCCUAAACGAUGUCAACUAGCUGUUGGGGCCUUCGGGCCUUGGUAGCGCAGCUAACGCGUGAAGUUGACCGCCUGGGGAGUACGGUCGCAAGAUU
rnacentral:rRNA from 1 species